rfam:Triticum aestivum genome assembly, contig: Triticum_aestivum_CS42_TGACv1_scaffold_499676_6BL
UGCAUGCUCCCUCCAUCCGGAAAUUCUUGUCGGAGAAAUGAAUAAAAAUAGAUGUAUCUAGAACUAAAAUACAUCUAGAUACAUUCAUUUUUAUUCAUUUCUCCGACAAGUAUUUCUGGACGGAGGGAGUACUAU